AUGGUGGCCACUGAGGGGGUCGGGAGGCUGCGCAAGGUGGGGAGCCUGGGCAGCUGGAGCAGCCCCCGCCCUAGCAGCAUCCACCCUGCCCCAGCAGCAGCACGAGGAAGAGAUGGCAGCUGAGGCUGGGGAAGCCGUGGCUUCCCCCAUGGACGACGGGUUUCUGAGCCUAGACUCACCCUCCUACCUCCUGUGCAGGGACAGAGCAGAAUGGGCUGAUAUAGAUCCAGUGCUGCAGAAUGAUGGCCCCAAUCCCGUGGUCCAGAUCAUUUAUAGUGACAAAUUUAGAGAUGUUUAUGAUUACUUCCGAGCUGUCCUGCAGCAUGAUGAAAGAAGCAAACGAACUUUUAAGCUAACCUGGGAUGCUACUGAGUUAAAUGCAGCCAAUUAUACAGUGUGGCAUUUCCGGAGAGUCCUCUUAAAGUCACUUCAGAAGGAUCUACAUGAGGAAAUGAACUACAUCACUGCAAUAAUUGAGGGGCAGCCCCAAAACUAUCAAGCUGGGCAUCAUAGGCGAGUAUUAGUGGAAUGGCUAAGAGAUCCAUCUCAGGAGCCUGAAUUUUUGCUAAUAUUCUUAAUCAGGAUGCAAAGAAUUAUCAUGCCUGGCGGCAUCGACAAUGGGUUAUUCAGGAAUUUAAACUUUGGGAUAAUGAGCUGCAGUAUGUGGACCAACUUCUCAAAGAGGAUGUGAGAAAUAGCUCUGUCUGGAACCAAAGAUACUUCGUUAUUUCUAACACUACUGGCUACAAUGAUCAUGCUGUAUUGGAGAGAGAAGUCCAAUACACUCUGGAAAUGAUUCAACUAGUGCCACAUAAUGAAAGUGCAUGGAACUAUUUGAAAGGGAUUUUACAGGAUCAUGGUCUUUCCAAAUAUCCUAAUCUGUUAAAUCAAUUACUUGAUUUACAACCAAGUCAUAGUUCCCCCUACCUAAUUGCCUUUCUUGUGGAUAUCUAUGAAGACAUGCUAGAAAACCAGUGUGACAAUAAGGAAGACAUUCUUAAUAAAGCAUUAGGGUUAUGUGAAAUCCUAGCUAAAGAAAAGGACAUGAUAAGAAAGGCAUAUUGGAGAUAUAUUGGAAGAUCCUUUCAAAGCAAACACAGCACAGAAAAUGACUCACCAACAAAUGUACAGCAAUAACACCACCCAGAAGAACUUGAUGGAAUGCUUUUAUUUUUUAUUAAGGGACUCUGCAGGAGUUUAAAAUGAGAAGGAUCUUUCCCUUUGCCUGUGGUGUAAAAGUGCAUCACACAGGCAUUGCUUUUUAAUAAGAACUGAUGCUCCUUGGGUGCUGCUGCUACUCAGACUAGCUCUAAGUAAUGUGAUUAUUCUAAAGCAAAGUCCCUGGAUGGGAAGAGGAAGAAAAAGUCCCAUAAAGGAAUUUUUGUAGUCUUAUCAACAUGUAAUCUAUUCCCUUAGCAUCAACUCCUCCCUCAGUGGUACACACGUCAAGAUUUGUAGCGGUAAUAACUGUGGGUCACUUGUAUGUAAUGGAUAUGAGGUAGCCGAAGUUUGGUUCAGUAAGCAGGGAAUACAGUGGUUCCAUCAGAGUUGGUCUGCACAGUCACAUUAUCUUGCUAUCACUGUAACCGACUAAUGCCAAAAGAAUGAUUUUGUAAUAAAGUUAUAGCUGUAUCUACAAGCAAAAAAACAAGCAAAAAGAAUAAGGACAAUCUUGUUUGUCAUUGCAUCUUUAGUCUUCAGUAUUCUGAGUACUUGGGGGCAGAACAUCACGACCGGCUAACCCAACAACUACACCCAACAUAUCUUUUGCCUACUUCCUUACUAUAAAAGCCAGAAAAAAUGAAUCACUUUUCCCAACCUCACUUGCGACCAUUAGAUGCUACACACAAAAAAAGCUCUGCCCAAUAACUUAUGAGCAAAGAUCUUAGGAAGAAGCAGACUGCUUCUAGGAGCACUUUUGCAAUUCUGAUAAAAGGGCCAGAGUGACUGAUACAAACUGUCUCCCUUUCCUUUGUCUUGAAUACAAACAUAAUGCUCGAGUUGGAGUGGUGCCAUCUUGCAACCAUAAGGAAAAGCCUAAAAGGCCACUGAGCCACCGAACGAAUGCAGCUGCUGCAUUUCUGUUACAUGAGAAAAUUGUACCCUCGCUGAUUCAAUCUGCUGUGGUUGGGUCAUCUGUUACUUGCACCUGAGAACAUUCCUAAGUAACCUAUAAAUUAAUAAUUUUUGCCACUUAAAAACAGGUAAUUUUUUUAUUUCAAAGGUUUUCAAAUGUCUACUACCAGAAACUUCUCCUCAAGAGGAAUUUUAAACUAAGCCCAAUAAAUAAUGUUGAUCAAAGGAGAGGUGUUCUCGUUGAAGAGGACAGGAGAUUGCUGUGUGGACUACCAGCCCUUUUCUUACCCCCUUCUUUUCCCCGGUAGCUCCUGAGGCACCUAUUUAAAACUCUUAUGGCUUCUCUGAAUACUGAACCGCUCUCUAACACUAGAUGGGAGUGUAAAUUUGAACAGUCUCUUUUGUGCACAGUUUGGCAGUUUGAGAACAAUUCCUAUCAUGUUGUUAAAUUAUGUAACCUUUGACUCAGCAAUUCCAUUUCUAAGACUCUGUUCACAGAAAUACUGGCAUUGUUGUACAGAGAUGUGUGUGUGUAUAUAUAUCGAAGGUGGUUCAUUAUAGAAUUGCCUAAAGGUUAAAAAAAAAGAAAAAUUUAAAAAACAAUGUAAAUGUCCAAUAAGGAACUGAUUAGUUACUUUAUAACACAUUCUUCCUCUGGCAUAUUCUGCACCCAUUACUGAUAUUGAAAGGUCUCCAGGAUAUA